GAAAUGCGAUAAGUAGUGUGAAUUGCAGAAUUCAGUGAAUCAUCGAAUCUUUGAACGCACAUUGCGCCCCUUGGUAUUCCAUGGGGCAUGCCUGUUCGAGCGUCAUCUACACCCUCAAGCUCUGCUUGGUGUUGGGCGUCUGUCCCGCCCCCGCGCGUGGACUCGCCCCAAAUCCAUUGGCAGCGUUCCUUGCCCCCUCUCGCGCAGCACAUUGCGCUUCUCGAGGGCGGCGCCGGGACGCGAUCCAGCAAGAUGACCACCGUCUUUGACCUCGGAUCAGGUAGGGAUACCCGCUGAACUUAAGC
rnacentral:misc_RNA from 1 species